rnacentral:tRNA from 1 species
UGGGGUAUAGCCAAGCGGUAAGGCAUCGGAUUUUGAUUCCGUAACCGGAGGUUCGAAUCCUCCUACCCCAG